rnacentral:rRNA from 1 species
GCUGGCGGUAGGCUACACAUGCAAGUCGAACGGCAGCACAGUAAGAGCUUGCUCUUAUGGGUGGCGAGUGGCGGACGGGUGAGGAAUACAUCGGAAUCUACUUUUUCGUGGGGGAUAACGUAGGGAAACUUACGCUAAUACCGCAUACGACCUUCGGGUGAAAGCAGGGGACCUUCGGGCCUUGCGCGAUUGAAUGAGCCGAUGUCGGAUUAGCUAGUUGGCGGGGUAAAGGCCCACCAAGGCGACGAUCCGUAGCUGGUCUGAGAGGAUGAUCAGCCACACUGGAACUGAGACACGGUCCAGACUCCUACGGGAGGCAGCAGUGGGGAAUAUUGGACAAUGGGCGCAAGCCUGAUCCAGCCAUACCGCGUGGGUGAAGAAGGCCUUCGGGUUGUAAAGCCCUUUUGUUGGGAAAGAAAAGCAGCAGGCUAAUACCCCGCUGUUCUGACGGUACCCAAAGAAUAAGCACCGGCUAACUUCGUGCCAGCAGCCGCGGUAAU